rnacentral:ncRNA from 2 species
UAAAUAACUUUUCUCCGAACUUCCCGGCCUAAAGCAAUUCUGCCAUGGCCGGGGAAGCGAGCCUCGAUGAAGCGAGGCCUCCUUCAGAAAAUCAGAAAUGGUUGAAGGAGCAGGGCUGCUGCGGAAACGCACUGACCUCCCGAAACCCUAAGUCGAACUUGGGGUGGAAUUGGAAAGGAGAGACGGUGAUCGAAAA